rnacentral:rRNA from 1 species
UUAACACAUGCAAGUCGAGGGGCAGCAUGGUCUUUUCUUGCUAAGGCCGAUGGCGACCGGCGCACGGGUGAGUAACACGUAUCCAACCUGCCGUCUACUCUUGGACAGCCUUCUGAAAGGAAGAUUAAUACAAGAUGGCAUCAUGAGUCCGCAUGUUCACAUGAUUAAAGGUAUUCCGGUAGACGAUGGGGAUGCGUUCCAUUAGAUAGUAGGCGGGGUAACGGCUCACCUAGUCUUCGAUGGAUAGGGGUUCUGAGAGGAAGGUCCCCCACAUUGGAACUGAGACACGGUCCAAACUCCUACGGGAGGCAGCAGUGAGGAAUAUUGGUCAAUGGGCGAGAGCCUGAACCAGCCAAGUAGCGUGAAGGAUGACUGCCCUAUGGGUUGUAAACUUCUUUUAUAAAGGAAUAAAGUCGGGUAUGGAUACCCGUUUGCAUGUACUUUAUGAAUAAGGAUCGGCUAACUCCGUGCCAGCAGCCGCGGUAAUACGGAGGAUCCGAGCGUUAUCCGGAUUUAUUGGGUUUAAAGGGAGCGUAGAUGGAUGUUUAAGUCAGUUGUGAAAGUUUGCGGCUCAACCGUAAAAUUGCAGUUGAUACUGGAUAUCUUGAGUGCAGUUGAGGCAGGCGGAAUUCGUGGUGUAGCGGUGAAAUGCUUAGAUAUCACGAAGAACUCCGAUUGCGAAGGCAGCCUGCUAAGCUGCAACUGACAUUGAGGCUCGAAAGUGUGGGUAUCAAACAGGAUUAGAUACCCUGGUAGUCCACACGGUAAACGAUGAAUACUCGCUGUUUGCGAUAUACUGCAAGCGGCCAAGCGAAAGCGUUAAGUAUUCCACCUGGGGAGUACGCCGGCAACGGUGAAACUCAAAGGAAUUGACGGGGGCCCGCACAAGCGGAGGAACAUGUGGUUUAAUUCGAUGAUACGCGAGGAACCUUACCCGGGCUUAAAUUGCAGAUGAAUUACGGUGAAAGCCGUAAGCCGCAAGGCAUCUGUGAAGGUGCUGCAUGGUUGUCGUCAGCUCGUGCCGCGAGGUGUCGGCUUAAGUGCCAUAACGAGCGCAACCCUUGUUGUCAGUUACUAACAGGUUCCGCUGAGGACUCUGACAAGACUGCCAUCGUAAGAUGUGAGGAAGGUGGGGAUGACGUCAAAUCAGCACGGCCCUUACGUCCGGGGCUACACACGUGUUACAAUGGGGGGUACAGAGGGCCGCUACCACGCGAGUGGAUGCCAAUCCCCAAAACCUCUCUCAGUUCGGACUGGAGUCUGCAACCCGACUCCACGAAGCUGGAUUCGCUAGUAAUCGCGCAUCAGCCACGGCGCGGUGAAUACGUUCCCGGGCCUUGUACACACCGCCCGUCAAGCCAUGGGAGCCGGGGGUACCUGAAGUGCGUAACCGCGAGGAGCGCCCUAGGGUAAAACUGGUGACUGGGGCUAAAA